UACAGAGGUCCCGAGCGUUGUUCGGAUUCACUGGGCGUAAAGGGUGCGUAGGUGGUGAGGUAAGUCGGAUGUGAAAUCUCCGGGCUCAACCCGGAAAUGGCAUUGGAAACUACCUUGCUUGAGGUUUUGAGGGGGGACUGGAAUUCUCGGUGUAGCAGUGAAAUGCGUAGAUAUCGGGAGGAACACCAAUGGCGAAGGCAGCUCGCUGGGACGGUACUGACGCUGAGGCGCGAAAGCCAGGGGAGCAAAGCGGG
rnacentral:rRNA from 1 species